CCUACGGGUGGCAGCAGUGAGGAAUAUUGGUCAAUGGGCGAGAGCCUGAACCAGCCAAGUCGCGUGAAGGAUGAAGGCUCUAUGGUUUGUAAACUUCUUUUAUAGGGGGGUAAAGUGAGGAACGUGUACCUUUUUGUAUGUACCAUAUGAAUAAGGAUCGGCUAACUCCGUGCCAGCAGCCGCGGUAAGACGGAGGAUGCGAGCGUUAUCCGGAUUUCUUGGGGUUAACGGGUGCGUAGGGGGUUACUUAAGUCAGCGGUGAAAGCUUGUGGCUCAACCAUAAAAUUGCCGUUGAAACUGGUUGGCUUGAGUAUAUUUGCGGUAGGCGGAAUGCGUGGUGUAGCGGUGAAAUGCUU
rnacentral:rRNA from 1 species